rnacentral:rRNA from 1 species
GCGUCCCCAGGUCAGGCGU